rnacentral:rRNA from 1 species
GGACGGGGGGUGCUAUACAUGCAGUCGUACGCUUCUUUUUCCACCGGAGCUUGCUCCACCGGAAAAAGAAGAGUGGCGAACGGGUGAGUAACACGUGGGUAACCUGCCCAUCAGAAGGGGAUAACACUUGGAAACAGGUGCUAAUACCGUAUAACAAUCGAAACCGCAUGGUUUUGAUUUGAAAGGCGCUUUCGGGUGUCGCUGAUGGAUGGACCCGCGGUGCAUUAGCUAGUUGGUGAGGUAACGGCUCACCAAGGCCACGAUGCAUAGCCGACCUGAGAGGGUGAUCGGCCACAUUGGGACUGAGACACGGCCCAAACUCCUACGGGAGGCAGCAGUAGGGAAUCUUCGGCAAUGGACGAAAGUCUGACCGAGCAACGCCGCGUGAGUGAAGAAGGUUUUCGGAUCGUAAAACUCUGUUGUUAGAGAAGAACAAGGAUGAGAGUAACUGUUCAUCCCUUGACGGUAUCUAACCAGAAAGCCACGGCUAACUACGUGCCAGCAGCCGCGGUAAUACGUAGGUGGCAAGCGUUGUCCGGAUUUAUUGGGCGUAAAGCGAGCGCAGGCGGUUUCUUAAGUCUGAUGUGAAAGCCCCCGGCUCAACCGGGGAGGGUCAUUGGAAACUGGGAGACUUGAGUGCAGAAGAGGAGAGUGGAAUUCCAUGUGUAGCGGUGAAAUGCGUAGAUAUAUGGAGGAACACCAGUGGCGAAGGCGGCUCUCUGGUCUGUAACUGACGCUGAGGCUCGAAAGCGUGGGGAGCAAACAGGAUUAGAUACCCUGGUAGUCCACGCCGUAAACGAUGAGUGCUAAGUGUUGGAGGGUUUCCGCCCUUCAGUGCUGCAGCUAACGCAUUAAGCACUCCGCCUGGGGAGUACGACCGCAAGGUUGAAACUCAAAGGAAUUGACGGGGGCCCGCACAAGCGGUGGAGCAUGUGGUUUAAUUCGAAGCAACGCGAAGAAC